rnacentral:tRNA from 1 species
AACUCAAUAGAUAUGAAAUUUGAGGCGGCAUCUGCCUUCUAAGCAGAGGGUCGGCAGUUCGAGUCUGCCAUGCG